GACGAACGCUGGCGGCGUGCCUAAUACAUGCAAGUCGAGCGGACUGAUUAAGAGCUUGCUCUUAUGACGUUAGCGGCGGACGGGUGAGUAACACGUGGACAACCUGCCCUGUAGAUCGGGAUAACACCGAGAAAUCGGUGCUAAUACCGGGUAAUAUCUGAGAUCACAUGAUCUUAGGUUAAAAGAUGGCUCCGGCUAUCACUACAGGAUGGGCCCGCGGCGCAUUAGCUAGUUGGUAAGGUAAUGGCUUACCAAGGCGACGAUGCGUAGCCGACCUGAGAGGGUGAUCGGCCACACUGGGACUGAGACACGGCCCAGACUCCUACGGGAGGCAGCAGUAGGGAAUCUUCCGCAAUGGACGAAAGUCUGACGGAGCAACGCCGCGUGAGUGAUGAAGGGGUUCGGCUCGUAAAGCUCUGUUGUUAGGGAAGAAACAGUACCGAACGAACUAGGUCGGUACCUUGACGGUACCUAACCAGAAAGCCACGGCUAACUACGUG
rnacentral:rRNA from 1 species